AGAUGGAUUUGUUGGCGAGGGUUUCCUUAUAGAUACAUUCCAAACAACUUUCAUUUGGAAAAUGUAAUUGCAAUUGUUUUCAAGCAUAGUCGUCUCCAACUCGUCUGGGAACAACGCGUGGUUUUAGAGCGGUUAAAAUUCCUUAAUCUUAGUCACUCCAAGUUCUUGAGAGAAACACCUGACUUUUCAGGAUUACCAAAUCUUGAACAGCUUAUUCUAAAAGAUUGCCCGAGUUUGCGCAAGGUACACCAUUCCAUUGGUGAUCUCUCCAAUAUACUAGUAAUAAAUUUGAAGGAUUGCAGAAGUCUAAGAUUUCUCCCAAGAGAGAUAUAUAAGUUGAGAUCUUUAAAAACUCUCAUCCUAUCUGGUUGUUCGAAGCUUAGGCCAUUGGAAAUGAUAUAAUGCAAGUGGAAUCCUUUUUAACUAUAAUUGCUGAGAAUAGAACACUGAAACAAGCAUCCUUUUAAAUUGUAAGCUAAAAAUUUAUCAGAUAUAAAUCCCUACGUUGAAUUUGAAGGAUUAUUGG